rnacentral:lncRNA from 1 species
UGUUAUUUGGUGAUGACAUUUUCCUUGCAGAAUAUUUUAGGGUUCUUAGAACAUUGAAACUUACCUCAGAAUUAGCUGAGAAUUGAGCAAUUAGAUUUUCUUUGGAGAAUCAUAAAAACAUUUUUGCUCUUUCUGCUCCAACUUUGGUAAAAUUAUAAGGAUUUUCUUCCCACAUCUGAAAGAAUUAGCACAGAUAUUUCAAAAUUAGUGUUUAAGUAAAUAAUUAAUAAAAGAGGAUGAUUUUGUUCUUCCCCGUUUGUCUCUUUUCAUUUCCUUUUCGGUGGUGCCUUAUUGAAACAGUAUCUUCAUAUGUUAAA